GGAUCAAUGAUGAGUCCUCUGUCAAAACAUUUAUUGGAAAAGCUGAAGAAAAUUAGUGAAAUUCACUAUCGUCUCCCUCAUUGGAACUGACGUCC
ensembl:snoRNA SNORD116 Small nucleolar RNA SNORD116